GCCUCGGUGGUGCAGUGGUAGAAUGCUCGCCUACCACGUGAGCGACCCGGGUUUGAAUCGUCCGCCGAUACA